rfam:Triticum aestivum genome assembly, contig: Triticum_aestivum_CS42_TGACv1_scaffold_289695_4AL
GUAAUACUCCCUCCGUCUGGAAAUACUUGGCCUAGAAAUGUUUGAAAAUAGAUGUAUCUAUAAUUAAAAUAAGUCUAGAUACAACCAUUUCUAAGACAAGUAUUUUCGAACGGAGGGAGUAUGUA